ensembl:lncRNA
UGAGUUGUUGAUAAGUGUGGUGUUCCGUGUUGUCAAGAGUCUUAUCGUUAGCGGUUAGGAUCAGGGUUAUAGGAGGUCCAACUCUACCCACUGGACAUUUGGUCCCACGGGUUGAGAGGCACUGUGUUAUAUUGUGUUACUAACAAGAAAUUUCACACACUGAAGGCCUGUAUCACCAUUAUCACCACAUGUCGUGUGACAUUUCAGGUCUUGCUGUGAAAAAGAGGACCCCUACUCUCCACUACAGUGCGCACUUAUCAGAGCCCAGCUGUUCUGUCAACUGUGUACUUCCCUUCUGGAUAAUUAGGAACAGCGGGGGGAAACAGCAGGACAUGGGGGUGGAGCAUUCGUGAUUACAGAGGGCAAUAAUUAAGAAGCUCCCGUCAACUGGAAAUGUUAUGAAUCAAUCUGGAAUUGGACAUGUGCCUAUAUCGUCUCAAUGCACUGUGAAGAGGACGGUUUGAAUGGACAAAAAAAUCUUCAAGGAUCACAGCUGGAGAACUGCAGAAGUUAGUUGUGUCUUGGGGUCAGAAAGUCUCCAAAACUACAAUCUGAAGUCACCGACAUCUCCACAAGCUGUUUGGAAGGGUUUCAAGAUAAAAGCCUCUACUCUCAUCCAAAAACAAACUCGAGAGUCUUCAGUUUGCCGACACUACUGGAACUUCAAAUGGGAUCGGGUUCUACGGUCAGAUGAAACCAGAAUAGAGCUUUUUGGUAAUAAACACAGAGGUGGUUUUGACGCACAUUACAGGAACCUUUAUAAAUGGAUUAAAG